GUCACAUUCAUGAAAGGGAAGGGGAUUGUAGUUACGACGUAAGGAACAUAUCCGAUAUCAUUUGUGAAACGGUUAUUCCAUAACGGUCAACCAACUCAUGAUGGCGUCCGUAAAAUUUACGAAGGGAUGAUUUCAACUUCACCAUUUGGAACUCUUGGUUUAAUAGCUUCCUUGUGAGCAGCAACCCUCUAUCAAGAAAAUCG
rnacentral:lncRNA from 1 species